rnacentral:rRNA from 1 species
GAUGAACGCUGGCGGCGUGCCUAAUACAUGCAAGUCGAGCGAACGGACGAGAAGCUUUCUUCUCUGAUGUUAGCGGCGGACGGGUGAGUAACACGUGGAUAACCUACCUAUAAUACUGGGAUAACUUCGGGAAACCGGAGCUAAUACCGGAUAAUAUUUUGAACCGCAUGGUUCAAAAGUGAAAGACGGUCUUGCUGUCACUUAUAGAUGGAUCCGCGCUGCAUUAGCUAGUUGGUAAGGUAACGGCUUACCAAGGCAACGAUGCAUAGCCGACCUGAGAGGGUGAUCGGCCACACUGGAACUGAGACACGGUCCAGACUCCUACGGGAGGCAGCAGUAGGGAAUAUUCCGCAAUGGGCGAAAGCCUGACGGAGCAACGCCGCGUGAGUGAUGAAGGUCUUCGGAUCGUAAAACUCUGUUAUUAGGGAAGAACAUAUGUGUAAGUAACUGUGCACAUCUUGACGGUACCUAAUCAGAAAGCCACGGCUAACUACGUG